AGAGGUGGCAAGCUUUGUUCGGAAUUACUGGGCGUAAAGGGCGCGUAGGCGGCCUUGCAAGUCCUGCGUGAAAUCCCUCGGCUCAACUGAGGAAUUGCACGGGAAACUGUUUGGCUUGAGUUCGGGAUAGGGAAGCGGAAUUCCGGGUGUAGCGGUGAAAUGCGUAGAUACCCGGAGGAACACCGGUGGCGAAGGCGGCUUCCUGGACCGACACUGACGCUGAGGCGCGAAAGCUAGGGGAGCAAACGGGAUUAGAUACCCCGGUAGUCCUGGCCCUAAACGGUGCACGUUUGCUGUAAGGGGAAUCGACCCCUUUUGUGGCGAAGCUAACGCGUUAAACGUGCCGCCUGGGAAGUACGGUCGCAAGAUUA
rnacentral:rRNA from 1 species